rnacentral:sRNA from 1 species
ACCUUCUGCCAGAAAGUGGGCCUGCUGUGCACGCUUCAGGAUAAGCUGCAGCCCCAGGACUGGACGUUGUUGGACGAACCGCUGCAGGGCCUGCAGACACUGCUGCUCAUGAUUUUGCGGCAGGCCUCCCAUGGCCUUUUCCUGCGCUACCAUGUGGAGGCCCUAACCCUGCGUCGCAUCAGUAGCUUCCGCCAGUACAAGUAUGACCUGGUGGCAGUGGGCAAGGCUUUGGAGGGCAUGUUCUGCAAGCUCAACCACCUCCUGGAGCACCCGCACCAGCCGUUCUUCCUCUACCUGCUCCCAACCCUGUCCUGCUUCGUCUCCAUCGGCCUCUACAUGCCCGCCACCAGCUUCUUGCUCCUGGUCCUUGGUUUCAAGGCUCUGCAACUGUGGAUGCAGCUGCAUGAGGCUGGAGUGGCCUUGAGGAGUUCAGGGGGGCCCCUGGCCCUAGUGUCCCCCCUCCCCCAGCACAGGGUGGUAAGCACACAGGUCCCAGACAGGGGCUGGAUGGCUCUGAAGCUGGUAGCCCUGAUCUACCUAGUACUGCAGCUGGGCUGCAUCGCCCUCACCAACUUCUGACUGGACUUCCUGCUGGCCGCCACUAUGGUGCUACCGCUGUGCUCGCCGAGCCUUUGGGCCCUGGACCCUCUAUGUUGCCCUGCUGGUGUUGACAAGCCCGGCAGCCAUGCUCCUUGGCAGCCCAUUUCUGUGGUGGGAGCUGCAGGAGGCGCCACUGUCACUGGCCGAGGGCUGGCAGCUCUUCCUGGCAGCGCUGGCCCAGGGUGUGCUGGAGCACCACACCUAAGGCGCCCUGCUCUUCCCACUGCUGUCCCUGGGCCUCUACCCUUGCUGGCUGCUUUUCUGGAAUGUGCUCUUCUGGAAGUGAGAUCUGCCUGUCCAGCACACCAGGCUGGGACAGAGACUCCCCAAGGACCCUAUUCUGCCUCCUUCUGGGGAAAUAAACAAGUGCCUGUUUCAGCUGCUUA